rnacentral:rRNA from 1 species
GUAGUUAGCCGGGGCUUCCUCACAGAUUACCGUCACUUCCUUCGUCAUCUGCGACAGAGGUUUACAAUCCGAAAACCUUCUUCCCUCACGCGGCGUUGCUGGGUCAGGCUUUCGCCCAUUGCCCAAUAUUCCCCACUGCUGCCUCCCGUAGGAGUCUGGACCGUUUCUCAGUUCCAGUGUGGCCGUUCAGCCUCUCAGCUCGGCUACCCAUCGUCGACUAGGUGGGCCGUUACCCCGCCUACUAUCUAAUGGGACGCGAACCCCUCCUAAAGCGGAUUGCUCCUUUGACCCCUUCGUCUUUUGACAUUGUGGUCUUAUGCGGUAUUAGCAACGAUUUCUCGUUGUUAUCCCCCUCUUUAGGUCAGAUUGUUCACGCGUUACUCACCCGUCCGCCACUUAGAUAUCCAACCGAAAUCAAAUAUCUCCGUUCGACUUGCAUGUGUUAGGCACGCCGCCAGCGUUCGUCCUGAGCCAGAAUCGAAACCUCACGUACGUAGACGGCGGUCGUCGGACGACGGCGACAGU